ACCAGAACUUCAGAACCUCAAAUACUUCCCAGGAAGCCCUACCCCUGAACUAGGUGAUACGUUGGCUCCGGUUGCUGCCAUGGACUGCAGGGUGCUCUGCUGCGUGGCCCUUUGUCUCCUGGGAGCAGGCUCAGUGGAUUCCGGAGUCACGCAAACCCCAAAACAUCUGAUUAAAGCCAAAGGACAGCAAGCGACAAUGAGAUGUUCCCCUCUCUCUGGACACCUGUCUGUGUCCUGGUACCAGAAGACUCUGAACCAGGGGCCCGAGUUCCUCUUUCAAUAUUAUAAUGGAGAAGAGAGAGAAAAAGGAAACGUCCCAGCUCGAUUUUCAGCACAACAGUUCCGUAACUCUAGCUCUGAGCUCAAUGUCAGUGCCUUGGUGCUGAAGGACUCUGCGCUGUUUCUCUGUGCCAGCAGCAUUGCACAGACCUGCAUGAUCAUUAGCCUUCUGUACAAAAACAUUUCCGCCCAGGAAGGGACCAGGGUGGGGAGGCUGCCAGCAAACUUGCUCAGGUCCUGGGAAAUGGCAGGCUUUUUGCAGUCACUUGCUACUGACUACACGUUGUGA